CCUAUUGGCUGUGCAUGAGGGCUAAUUUGCAUACGAGGGGCGGGGUUGGUGCGUCACCGCGGAGGGGCGGGGCUGCCUCCUACUCGCUGGUAUGGCGGCGCGGUGUGCGUGUGGUCUGGGUGCUUUGGUUGUAGGAUGCCCCGGGCUGUGGGGUGCUCUAUCUAUAAGGUGCUUUGGUGAUAGGAUGCUCUGGCUAUAGUAUAUGCCAGCUGUAGGAUGCUCCAGCUUAAAUAGAAGUUCUUGAUUCUCAGGGUAAUGUGCGCACUGGAACGUUCUGCAUAGGAAUUGCGGGUGCCUUAUCCCUGGGGGUGCACAGGGCCGUGCUGGGUGGGGCACCGGCAGCCGGGUCUGGUGGGUGCCAAGCAGCUCAUGGCAGGGAGUUGGAACUUGACUUUAGGGUCCCUUCCAACCCAACCGUUCUGUGCUUCUGUUUGGCUACAGGGUACCUUGACCGUAGGGCUGUAGUACAGGGAGCUGCUGCUGGGGACGGUAUCGGAGCUGAGGGGCUGUGACGUGGGGUGCACGUCCCUGGGGGCAGCUCCCAGCGGUGGGGCAGCUCCAGCCGCAGCAGCAGUGUUGUUUCAGACCGACCUCUCGUUGCUUUGCUCUGGGUUUUCACCAAAGCAACGUUUGAGGUGAUCAGAAGUGGGGAAGGAUCCGGGAGCAGCCCAACCACCGUCCUCGCCAUGGGGCUGGGAGGCUCCUGCGGCGCCGGAGAGACCGUGCGCCCUAAGGCAGACUGUGACUUGUUGUGGUGGGAUGAGCCAUACAACAACAAAAUCACUAGUCUUCCAGAGGGCACCGCGGCCAUCCUCGUCCCGUGAGCACCGCGCAGAUGUCACCCACCACUGUGGGGGUGCAGGAUGAGUGUCCUCGCCCUCUGCCCUACCUCUUUUCUGCUCUGUUCUGCCCAGUUGGAAAAGCGUGCUUGGAGCAUCAUCCUUGUGGAGGACUUCAGUGCACUGAACUGCAGAGCCCCAGUGUUGGGGGGAUCCUGGAGCUGGAUCACCUUCUGAACUUCUUCGUGGCAAACCUCAUCUCUUUACUCAGCUGAUAGCCUUUUGGGACCUGGCUAAAAGCUUCUCCAUCCUUCGAUGUGAAGGGUGUCCUGCAGGCUACGGAGGUGCUGAGGCUUAGCGCUGUGGUCAGCUCUUGGCUGGUCCAGGGUCUUUGGGGAAGGUGAAUCCGGGGAACGAUGCUACCAUGCAGUGUCCGUCCUUUUCCUUCUGCUUCUCCCCCAGCCAACACAAAGAGCUCGGCACCAGCAGCCCUGCAAAUUCCUGCUGUUCAAAAAGUCAUGUAAUGGGCAACUGACCUCUGGGAGAUGGUUUGUGAAUUGGUUGAAAUAACAGGCCUGGCUCUCUUCUGGGAAGCUACAUGGAGGUCAGCCUUGAAGAAAAGAGCAGUACAGCAGCUCCAAGCAUUAGCAAGAAGAAAUAACUGAAGCAGAGAGACUUGAACGUAAUUACAGCCUAAGAGCUGCGAUGGGAACUCAGCGAUCUGAGCCCAUCUCCUGGACUUCAGUGCAAUCAACAGAUGGACACCACCAGCUCAUGAAGGCUGGUUUCUGGAAGCCGUGCAAUGGUGCUGAAUGCCAGAGCAGGUGGAGAAGCAAUGCAGGUGGCUGUUCCAAAGGCUGGAGCUAGGAAAGGGUCUCAAAUGCCAUGGAAGAAGCAGAUGGAGGCAACCACUGGAACGCUCCGUGCUUAAUUGAGGGCACCAGCAAGGGUGAGCACGAGGUGGCUGCCCACCACCAGGAUGCUCUGCUGCUGCCAUGUGAGUCGCUGUCAUUAGGACCAGGAAUGGAGUUUAUAGCUGAGUAACCACAACAACUUUGCACAAAUUAAACAACAUACUGCAGGUUAAUUAGAUUUCUUACUGCUGCCUCAAUUAACUUAGCCCCGUCAUCUGCUGUCAGAAGUGGAUGGAGACCCUUUGAAAUUCAUGGGCUCUAUCGCUGGGAGGUGGGAAUGGCAAAACCUCUCCCUGGGCAACCACACCUCUGAGUGAUAUGUUUGUCUGGAUGGGUGAUGCCAUCUUCUGUGCUUAGAAACCCCUUUGUGUGGCAGGGGAGAGCAGCAGGAGAUGCGCUUGUCCUCCACCAAGCACAGUGACCAAGGAGGAUUUCCCCUGUGGCGUUUCAAGCUCACCUUGUCAUAAGGCAAUCUUAAAAAAAAAAAAAAAAAAGAAAAACAUAUCUGGAGGAAAAGUCUUUUUUUUUUUAAUCAUUCCACACAACGCUGUGUGAAUGCAAAUAAAUAAAAGGGCCCCCUAUGAAAACAUCUGAGAAUGCUGGUUUGUAUUUUUAAACCAAUUUCCUUCGACUGUGUCAGGGCCUGUUUUGUGUUUGCUCGACAAUUAUGUGGCUAAUGAGGACAGCCACAGCUACAUUAGGCAGGAUUAGGAAGAAUAAGGCUACAAAUGCUUCAGUG
ensembl:lncRNA